CCAAAAUCAAUUAAAUUAAAAUAGGUUUUUCCUUCCAAAUUUUCCAUAGCUAUUUUCCUCACAGCAUCAUUCAAUUCUCUGGAACCCCAAAUUGAUUUCUUCUCCAUCACAUUACUCAAUUCUUCCUUACAUUAAAUCCAAACCAUUUUCAUCCCAGUAUAAGCCCCAAAUCAAGGAACAAAUGCAUAUUAAACUCCAAUUUGAGAAAUCCCCAAAUUCAUAUGAACUCUAAAUUCAUCUACAAUUUUGGCAGCGUAGGCAUAAGAUGAAGGUUGGCCAUGUUCAGCCAGCAUCUAUGGGUGGUAGAUACUGCUAUACUGUGGGUUCCUCUUACUAGCAGUUGUUUUGUUAAUGACAUUGGCGUGGUCCAAGACUCAAGAUAUUCUGUGAUACUUCCUGUAGUUGAAGGUGGUUUUGAAUUUUUAGUUUAGGUCUAGUACUUAUGACAUUGAAGCUAAAGGAUGUGAUGAAGAGAAAAGUGGUGUUUUAGUGCCUUGUGCUCAUCUCUUAUUACUAUUAAGAAUGAUGUACUCAGAUACUUGAAGGGUAUAUAAUAAAUGUUUGUAAUGAAGAUUUUCUUCCACUAAAUUCCAUUGUACUAUUUGGAAUGCUUUAUUGUUAGUGUUAAAGGCUUUCCCUCUUUG
rnacentral:lncRNA from 1 species